rnacentral:rRNA from 1 species
UGGGGAAUUUUCCGCAAUGGGCGCAAGCCUGACGGAGCAACGCCGCGUGAGGGAUGGAGGCCUUUGGGCUGUAAACCUCUUUUCUCAAGGAAGAAGAUCUGACGGUACUUGAGGAAUAAGCCACGGCUAAUUCCGUGCCAGCAGCCGCGGUAAUACGGGAGUGGCAAGCGUUAUCCGGAAUUAUUGGGCGUAAAGCGUCCGCAGGCGGCCGUUUAAGUCUGUUGUUAAAUCGUGGAGCUCAACUCCAUCACGGCAAUGGAAACUGUUCGGCUUGAGUAUGGUAGGGGCAGAGGGAAUUUCCGGUGUAGCGGUGAAAUGCGUAGAUAUCGGGAAGAACACCAGUGGCAAAAGCGCUCUGCUGGGCCAUUACUGACGCUCAUGGACGAAAGCCAGGGGAGCGAAAGGG